GAUGAACGCUGGCGGCGUGCCUAAUACAUGCAAGUCGAGCGAACAGACGAGGAGCUUGCUCCUCUGACGUUAGCGGCGGACGGGUGAGUAACACGUGGAUAACCUACCUAUAAGACUGGGAUAACUUCGGGAAACCGGAGCUAAUACCGGAUAAUAUAUUGAACCGCAUGGUUCAAUAGUGAAAGACGGUUUUGCUGUCACUUAUAGAUGGAUCCGCGCCGCAUUAGCUAGUUAGUAAGGUAACGGCUUACCAAGGCAACGAUGCGUAGCCGACCUGAGUGGGUGAUCGGCCACACUGGAACUGAGACACGGUCCAGACUCCUACGGGAGGCAGCAGUAGGGAAUCUUCCGCAAUGGGCGAAAGCCUGACGGAGCAACGCCGCGUGAGUGAUGAAGGUCUUCGGAUCGUAAAACUCUGUUAUUAGGGAAGAACAAAUGUGUAAGUAACUAUGCACGUCUUGACGGUACCUAAUCAGAAAGCCACGGCUAACUACGUG
rnacentral:rRNA from 1 species